GUAUUAGUAGUGUAACGGAUAGAGCACGCGCUCCCGGAUAGAGCGAGGUGCAGGUUCGAGUCCUGCCUGAAGCG